AGACAUCCCUAGGUCGAUGGAAGCUGACCACCUCCCAUCCCUAGGUCGAAGGGUGGCAGACAUCCCUCCUCCACCGUUAUCCCUUUUUUUCACCUCAAUUUUUUCACCUUUCUUUUUUUUUUUUUUUUCAUUUGGAAGGGAUUCGCGAAAAGGGAGCAUCCGAGAGAUUCUUAAAGCCUUUUCCAGUUCCAAUUUGGAGUCUUCGUAUCCAUAUGGGGUGCUGUUGAUAUGCUGUUCUUGACAAUGCAUGUUUUCCUGCCUGCAUCAUUGAAACCUACUGAACCAUCCAUUCCAGGUUCAGCAGCCUGGAUCUGGAACUACGAAGUUUACAGACCACCUGUAUGUUGUUGUAAAGGUUACGAAUCUUUUGAUUCUAUCCAAAUGUAAACACGCAAACUCUCUCUAGCCUUCUCUGGAAAUAGAAGUAUUCCGUAGAGCAAUGUGUAUCCCUUUGAAAAAUCCAGACGAUGUGGAAAAAAUCUAGACAAGAUACAGAGCAGGUGGGAAUGCCUGUAAGGCACAGCUAGGGUAAGAGCCCAUAUCUGGAGUAAGAGUGGUCUUCUGAUGAGAGAUUGAUGCCCAAUCCAAAAUGUUACAUCUCCAAGGUGAGCAUCCACCACUGCAAAACCACUUGAUAGAAUAGCCUCUAUUCUUCUGGGACUCAUCCUAUGCCACCUGCAUGUAAUGUUUGAGGAACCAAGGGGUGCUUAAUGGCCUCCUUGGUGCCAGGCAAAGCCCUUCUGAGGUACAUCAGCUUUUCGGAAAUUCUCUUCCGGCAGAGCCGCGGGAGUUCUUCCAGAUGGCCAGGCGGUAGCCCGAGUGAAUGAGGAAGUACAACAGCAUUUUGUACUUGGAGAAUGAAAUCAAGUUCGGCGCAGUUGCUGGCAGCUCUCUGGGGAGGAGGAAAAAUUGAGAUUGCAGGAAAGGCCUAUAAGGACACAUUUGGAGCAAUGCAGCUAGCUUCUCUCAAGUCAAGAUCUCAAUGAUUCUUUCCGAUCUAUGAAAGAUCUGAGCCUUUUCCUCUUUGUAAUUGUAUAGUCUCCUAAACAAUGUUUAUCCCUUAUAAAAGAAAUGAUUUUCUUAUAUAGUAGAUUCCAUGUUGUUUUUUGUUGUCUUUGUAUAGCAUGUCUAGGCAUCAGACAAGAUUCUCUACUAAAAAGAUGAAUUAUCAUUUUCAAAUAAGAUCUGAGUCCAAAGUUUCUGAAUCUUUGAUCAUUAUUAUUCUCUAUAUAUAGUACUCUAUCCCCACCAUUUUUCGUUGGCCAAUCUCCACAAGUUUGGCACUUUGGCACGCUCACCUGCACGUUUGCGAAACUUUAUCUUGAAUUUAUGUUCCCACUCUGGCCUUACUUUUACAACAAUGAUCUUUAAAUUUUCAUAUUUUCAGAUGGAUUGUCUCAAGUUCAUUCCUUGUUUCAUUUCAAGAUCAUUGAAGCAUCUUAAAUGUGCUUAAUACGUUGUGCAAACAAAUAUUAAAGUAAUCACUUGAUUAAUCGAACCACGUGCAUCUAUAGUUUUAAUAUUCAAAAUUAAUGUAAAUGUGAUAGUUUUAUUGGAUUAAUUAGGAGGCACAAUGUAUGGGCCAAACAAUACUUUUUCUUUCUCUUGAACACAUGUUUUACGGAGGAGAAUUGCGAUGGUGGGUGGGGAUGGGCUGCCGAGCGUGAUGCCUAGGAUUGGUUUGACCCCUUCGUUGAAGUUGCUCAUCUUUGCGAUGGUGGGUGGGGAUGGGCUGCCGAGGGGACCGUCUGGUGCUAAAGCACUGAAUGAAAUAUAGUUAAAGUGGAUUGAUGUGUACUCUGCUCGAUUUGAUUGUAGAAGCAUUAUAUGGCAUUGGAGCUGCUAAUGUAAUUACAGAAUCAUACAAUUCACAGACGUUCGAUUGAAAUCUUUUCUUAUCCAUAGAUCAUAAUGAUUAAGAUAUUCCUUUGCAGGCAUGUUGAGAUCAAAAUAUUUUUCUUAUCCGUUGAUCUGAUCAGUUGCA